GGAGGCGGGGCAUGGAGUUCCACUGCAGGAAUCUCCAGGAACCCUGAGGUCCUCCCUGAGCCAGGGCCGGGCUGGGCACACCCUGAGUGCCCACAGGGGCCUAGGGGAUGCCAAAUUCCAGGGUCCAGAAAGAGCUUGGGAUAAAAUGAAACUUCAAGGGGACGGCUUUGACCUGGGCUGAGUCUGUCUGUGCCAUCCAACUGGAGUCUCAAGUCCUGAGGCAGGACGUCCAGAUGCCCCAGUGCAGGGCCCUCCUGAUCAACACCUGCUCCCCUGUACUCAUUAGCAACCUCACCCACCCUACUCUCAAAGCACACUUGGCUCUCGUAUCCAGGAGCUCUGCAUCUAUAGAUUCAGCAACAGCAGAUGGAAAAUAUUCAGAAAAUAAAUUGGAUGGUUAUGUUUCUAUUGAACAUGUGCAGACUUUGUUCUUGUCAUCAUUCCCUAAAGAAUACAGUAUCACGACCAUUUAUGUAGCAUCUGCAUU
rnacentral:lncRNA from 10 species